AUGACUUCUCGUAGUGAGGUGUUGUCUAUUUAUAAGCGUUUUGCUGCCAUGGUUCAUACUCAGUUCUCUUCACCUAUUCGUGUUUUUCGUGCUGACUCCGUUGGCGAGUAUAUCUCUAAGAUGUUGCGUGGUGUUCUUGCUGAGCAAGGAACUCUCUCUCAAUUCUCUUGUCUUGGUGCUCAUGCUCAGAAUGGUGUGGCUGAGCAAAAGCAUCGACAUCUUCUUGAGACGGCUCGUGCAUUGAUGAUUGCUGCCUCUCUCCCGCCUUGUUUUUGGGCUGAGGCCGUCUCCACCUCCACCUAUCUUAUCAAUAUACAGCCUUCCGCUGCUCUACAGGGUGGUGUUCCUUUCGAGCGUCUUUUUUGA
rnacentral:rRNA from 1 species